GAUGAACGCUGGCUACAGGCUUAACACAUGCAAGUCGAGGGGAAACGACGGGGAAGCUUGCUUCCCCGGGCGUCGACCGGCGCACGGGUGAGUAACGCGUAUCCAACCUGCCUCUGACUGAGGGAUAACCCGUCGAAAGUCGGCCUAAUACCUCAUGGUAUCGUCUGCGGGCAUCCAACGACGAUUAAAGAUUUCAUCGGUCAGGGAUGGGGAUGCGUCUGAUUAGCUUGUUGGCGGGGUAACGGCCCACCAAGGCUACGAUCAGUAGGGGUUCUGAGAGGAAGGUCCCCCACAUUGGAACUGAGACACGGUCCAAACUCCUACGGGAGGCAGCAGUGAGGAAUAUUGGUCAAUGGGCGAGAGCCUGAACCAGCCAAGUAGCGUGCAGGAAGACGGCCCUAUGGGUUGUAAACUGCUUUUAUGCGGGGAUAAAGUGAGGGACGUGUCCCUCAUUGCAGGUACCGCAUGAAUAAGGACCGGCUAAUUCCG
rnacentral:rRNA from 1 species